AGUGGGUGUAAUGUACCUACUAGCCUACGACGGGUACGGGUUGUGAGAGCAAGAGCCCGGAGAUGGAUUCUGAGACAUGAAUCCAGGCCCUACGGGGCGCAGCAGGCGCGAAAACUUUACAAUGCGGGAAACCGCGAUAAGGGGACACUGAGUGCCAGCACCAUGUGCUGGCUGUCCGCAUGUAUAAAUCACAUGUGUCAGCAAGGGCCGGGCAAGACCGGUGCCAGCCGCCGCGGUAACACCGGCGGCCCGAGUGGUGGCCAUUAUUAUUGGGUCUAAAGGGUCCGUAGCCGGUUUGAUCAGUCUUCCGGGAAAUCUGACAGCUCAACUGUUAGGCUUCUGGGGGAUACUGUCAGACUUGGAACCGGGAGAGGUAAGAGGUACUACAGGGGUAGGAGUGAAAUCUUGUAAUCCUUGUGGGACCACCAGUGGCGAAGGCGUCUUACCAGAACGGGUUCGACGGUGAGGGACGAAAGCUGGGGGCACGAACCGGAUUAGAU
rnacentral:rRNA from 1 species